ensembl:lncRNA
CCCACCUUUUGAAGCCCUACUUGGGACCCCUCAUUGGGACUCCCCCCUAUUAGGACCCCCCCCAGUUUGGACCCUGUCCUUAAAACCCUUCUUCUUUUGAAGCCCCUACUUAGGACUCCUCAUUGGGUCCCCCCCCAUUGUGACCGCCCCAAUUAAGACCCCCCCCCCAAUUAAUUCUUCCAUUGAGCCUCACCCUUUAGAUUGCCCCCCCCUCCAAUUCUGGGGUCCCCCCAGUUUUGGGGUCCAGCAGUGCUGACCACCCCUUUCUCCUCCCCCAACAUUUCAGGGACCCCAAAUUAACCCCCCCAAUACACCCCCCAAAAAACUCCUAUUAUCCCCCCCCCCCCAAUAAAUCCCCUAUUAAACCUCUCCCUUUAGGAGCCCUCCCCCAGUUUUGGGGUCCAGCAUCCCUCACUCUUCCCCCCCAAUCCCCUCCAUUGCAGAAGGUGGAGGGGGGGGGUCAGGAGGUGGGGACCCCCCCCCCACAUUUCGAGGCCGUUCCCGCUCUGCCCCCCCCGUCCUAUGGGCAGCACGGAAAUAUGGCCGGGAGCUGCGAAGGAUGAGUGAUGAGUUCCAGCUGUUGGUAUGGGGGGGGCUAUGGGGUGGGGGGCAGAGCGGGUCUCUAUGGGGAAAUUGAGGUCACGCUGGGGUCUCUGUGGGUGUCAGUGGGGUCUCUAUGGGGACACUGAGAUCAAACUGAGGUCACUCUGAAAACAGCGGGGUCUGUAUGGGGACAUGGAGGUCACAUUGGAGACAGGGGGGUCACACUGAGGUCUCUAUGGGGACAUUGGGGUCUGUGGGGACAAUGGGGUUUCUAUAGGGCUCCCUGGGGACAGUGAGGUCACACUGGGUGACGCAGGAGACAAUGGGGUCUGUAUGGGGUUCAGUGGUGACACUGGGGUCACAUUGGGGUCUCUGUGGGACACUGGGGUCUUUAUGGGGUCAGUGGGGUCUUUAUGGGCCAUUGGGGUCUCCAUGGGGUCUCUAUGGGCACAUUGAGAUCACACUGAAGUCACUGGGGACAAUGGGGUCUGUAUGGGGACACUGGGGACACACUGGGGUCUCAUUGGGGUCUUUAUGGGGCAUUGGGGGGUCUCUAUGGGGUCAAUGGUGUCUCUGGGGCAUUAUGGGGUCUCUGUGGCUCUGUGGGGUCAAUGGGGUCUCUAUGGGGCGUUGGGGUCACACUGGGGUCUUUAUGGGUUCAGUGGGGCCGCACUGGUGACACACAGUGACCCCCCUCCCCCCUAUCUUCCCCCCCUCAGGUCCUUCCACGCCCCACAAGUGUGGGGGGGACCCCUCGAGGCCGUUGGAUGGGGUUGGGGGUCCCAGGGGUGGGAGGGGGGGGUUGGCGUGAAGCUUUGGAGCGCUGGUGGAGGCGCCGCCCCCCCCGGUGACCACCCCCCCCUCUAUAUCCCCCCCCUCCCCCCUCCAUUUGGGGACCCUCAAAUUGAGGGUCCCUCCCCCCCAAAAAAUAUAUGGAGACAUCCGUAGAAGAGUAAAGAGCUCUUAUUGUACAGUGGGGGGGGGAGGGGGGAAGGGGGGUUAAUUGGGGAAGCAUGGGGCACCAUUCUGGGGGUGCCCCCCACAGCAGAACGGGACAGACAGAUGCCCCCCCCAGAUUUAGUGGUCUCGCAGGGGGGGAUAGCCCUUUAAAAGACACCCCCCCCCCAUAUUUUUGAGGGGGGGGGUGGAGUGUGUGUGCCCCCCAAGGUGUGGGGGGGCAAGGAUGAAUUUUCGGGGGGGGGUGGGGGGAAGUGAAAUGCUGUAGGGUCCCCCCAGUGGUCCCCCAGGCCCCCAUUUACCCUCCCAGUCACUUCCAGUGCCCCACAGCCCCCCCCUCAUUUCUCUCCCAGUGCCCCCCCAGCCUUCCAUUUCCCUCCCAGGUCCCUCCCAGUGCCCUCCAUUCCUCCUCUCAGUGACCCCCAACCCCUCCCAGUGUCCCCACAGCCCCCCAUUUCUCUCCCAGCCCCCUCCAUUCCCUUCCAGUGCCCCCCACUACACCCACUUACCCUCCCAGUCCUUCCCAGUCUCUCCCAGUGCCCCCACAGCCCCCCCCAAUUCCCUCCCAGUGUUCCCCAGAUCCCUCCCAGUCCCCCCCCCCCAAUUCCCUUCCAGUGCCCCGCAGUCCUUCCCAGCACCCCCCAUUCCCAUCCCAGUGCCCCCCCAAUCCCCUUCCAUUCCCAUCCCAGUCCCUUUGCAGUGCCCCCCAGUCCCCCCCACGUCCCCCAAUCCCAUUCCAGUCCCCCCAGUGCCAUCCCAGUCCAUCCCAGUGCCCCCAUUACCCCUCCCAGUGUCUCUGUUACCUCUCCCAGUCCCCCCCAGUUCCUCCCAGUGUCCCCAAUACCCCUCCCAGACUUUCCCAGUGCCCCCCAGUCACAGCCAAUCCUUCCCAGUCCCUCCAUUACCCAGGCCCACGCAAAGUGGGGUCUCGGAGCUGGCGCAUGUGCAGGCCCUAGCAAGGCCCCAUUGCAGGCCUUAUUGCAGGCCCUAGCAAGGCCCCAUUGCAGGCCCUAGCACGGCCCCAUUGCAGGCCCUAUUGCAGGCCCUAGCAAGGCCCCAUUGCAGGCACUGGCAGGUCUAAACAGGCAGACACUGUGCCAUGCUGCAGUUCUGAGGUUCGUGUGGGCCAUUAUGUUGUUUCCACAAAAAUUAGUGGAAGCUGCAGUUCUCCACCUAAGUUUACAGCUCUUGAGACCCCACUACGCAUGCGCCAGGCCCUAGAACCCACCUGCCUGCAUCACCUCCGCAUGUCACCUUGUCUCUGUAGUCUGUAGUUCUGACCCCACACUUCAACCCCACGUCCCCGUGUCCCCCCAUGUCCCUGUGUCCCCACACGUCCCCUCAUGUCCCCAUGUCCCCUCAAGCCCCCCCAUGUCCCCUGCUCCACUUCGCUCCACGCCAAUGUCACCGUGGGGUGCGUGAAGUCCAGGGAGAAGUUGAUGGCCAUGUGCAGUGGGGUGAUGGUGUCCUCGGGGCACAGCUGUGACAGUGGGGGCGGGGGUAGCGCCCCACAAGUGGGGGUCAUUGCCCCCAAAAUGGGGCUUGUGCCCCAUGCAUGUGGGGCAGGUUGUUCAGGGAGCGCAUUCUGGAGAUGAUUUGUCGUUUCUCCAAACCUGCCGUGACUUCAGAAAUCCCACGUCGUGCCGCAGCAGAAAUGGGGUACUGCAGUAUCGUCAGUCAUCUCUGAUUUAAGGAGUGCGGGGGCUGCACGAAGGACUCACGCUGCAGCCUCCCUAUUUCUUUGGGGUUUGGGAUCGAUGUUUGAGCCAAAAGGCUACACGCUGCCAGACAGGAGGUGCCGGGUUUACCCAAUGAAGACAACAAAUCCUACAGUAUCUUCACAAUGGUCUUCGAUUGCAAAGCGAGUAGAUGACACGAUUCUCACCGGUCAGCCAUAAGCUGACCCUGUCAGUUUGGCAAACAGCACUUCACUCCGUUCACAACAGGAAUCUCAGCCCUUUUGCUCCACAUACAGCUUCUCAGCCUCUUGCUGUAUCACUACAGAAUUCCGAGCUCCCCUAUCUAUUAGAAAUGUCACCAACUGCCUUUGAGGACAGCCUGCUCCCCCAAAAUACCAACUUUAUCCCGAAAAUGAAACGUGCUCCGCGAAAAAAAGAAAUUUUCACCCACAAGAUCUUCACUCCAAAAAUACGAUAUUCUGCGCGCAAGUCACGCAUUUUCAACAAAACAAACAAAUAAAAAAAACCCCAAACUUCAGUCGAAAAUCACGCAUUUUCAUUCCAAAACCACCAUAUUUUACAUUAAAAUCAGGCAUUUUCUCUUUGAAAAUACCCUAUUUAACCGAAAAUUAUGAAUUAUUUCUUUGAGAAUCCGCCAUUUACCCGAAAAUCACGUAUUUUCUCUACAAAAAUCCCCCAUUUAACUGAAAAUCACACUCU